AUGUCAUCUAAGGCUGUGAAAAGGAUAGUGAGAUACUUAAUUCAUACACCAAAUUUUGGCAUUUGGUAUCCUAAGAGGGCCUCUUUCGAUCUUGUCGGCUACUCUGACUCAGAGUAUGCCGGAGACAAGGUUGAUAGAAAGUCCACUUCGGGUACUUGUCAAUUUCUUGGUAGAUCUCUUGUGUCUUGGUCCUCCAAGAAACAAAACUCGGUAUCCUUAUCCACCACCGAAGCUGAAUAUAUUGCCGCUGGUUCAUGUUGUGCUCAAUUACUUUGGAUGACCCAAACUCUUAAAGAUUAUGGGAUAUAUGUGAGACAUGUUCCAUUGCUUUGUGAUAAUGAAAGUGCUAUCAAAAUUGGUCAUAAUCCUGUGCAACAGUCUCGAACUAAGCAUAUUGAAGUUCGUCAUCAUUUCAUUCGAGAUCAUGUUGCUAAGGGUGACAUUGAUCUUAAGCAUGUUCACACCGAAAAGCAAUUAGCAGAUAUAUUCACUAAACCUCUUGAUGAGAAAGUGUUUUGCAGGUUAAGAGGAGAAUUGAACAUCAUUGAUGCUUCAAACUUGGAGUAG
rnacentral:rRNA from 1 species